UGUGCAACGGGUGAGUAACACGUGGGCAAUCUGCCCUUCACUCUGGGACAAGCCCUGGAAACGGGGUCUAAUACCGGAUACGACCCGGAAGCGCAUGCUUCUGGGUGGAAAGCUCCGGCGGUGAAGGAUGAGCCCGCGGCCUAUCAGCUUGUUGGUGGGGUAAUGGCCUACCAAGGCGACGACGGGUAGCCGGCCUGAGAGGGCGACCGGCCACACUGGGACUGAGACACGGCCCAGACUCCUACGGGAGGCAGCAGUGGGGAAUAUUGCACAAUGGGCGAAAGCCUGAUGCAGCGACGCCGCGUGAGGGAUGACGGCCUUCGGGUUGUAAACCUCUUUCAGCAGGGAAGAAGCGAAAGUGACGGUACCUGCAGAAGAAGCGCCGGCUAACUACGUGCCAGCAGCCGCGGUAAUACGUAGGGCGCAAGCGUUGUCCGGAAUUAUUGGGCGUAAAGAGCUCGUAGGCGGCUUGUCACGUCGGAUGUGAAAGCCCGGGGCUUAACCCCGGGUCUGCAUUCGAUACGGGCUAGCUAGAGUGUGGUAGGGGAGAUCGGAAU
rnacentral:rRNA from 1 species